rnacentral:rRNA from 1 species
GAUGAACGCUAGCGGCAGGCUUAAUACAUGCAAGUCGAGGGGCAGCAGGUCUGUAGCAAUACAGAUGCUGGCGACCGGCAAACGGGUGCGGAACACGUACAGAACCUUCCUUUAAGUGGGGAAUAGCCCAGGGAGACUUGGAUUAAUACCCCGUAAUAUAAUAGAGUGGCAUCACUUUAUUAUUAUAGCUCCGGCGCUUGAAGAUGGCUGUGCGGCUGAUUAGGUAGUUGGCGGGGUAACGGCCCACCAAGCCUACGAUCAGUAACUGGUGUGAGAGCACGACCAGUCACACGGGCACUGAGACACGGGCCCGACUCCUACGGGAGGCAGCAGUAAGGAAUAUUGGGCAAUGGACGCAAGUCUGACCCAGCCAUGCCGCGUGGAGGAUGAAGGUCCUCUGGAUUGUAAACUUCUUUUAUAUGGGACGAAAAAAGGGCUUUCUAGCUCACUUGACGGUACCAUAUGAAUAAGCACCGGCUAACUCCGUGCCAGCCGCCGCGGUAACAC